rnacentral:snoRNA from 1 species
GUCCUAUGAAGUUAAAUCCCAAGGCUUGUUUCUCAAAAUAUUUGCAGUGGCUGCCUUGUAGCUUUCGCCUUCACCAGGCUUGAGAGUUUUUGCUGCUUUUAUCCUUCCUUGGAUGUCUUGAGGCC